CCUACGGGUGGCAGCAGUGGGGAAUAUUGGGCAAUGGGCGCAAGCCUGACCCAGCAACGCAGCGUGAAGGAAGAAGGCCCUAGGGUUGUAAACUUCUUUUAUCAGGGACGAAGCAAGUGACGGUACCUGAUGAAUAAGCCACGGCUAACUACGUGCCAGCAGCCGCGGUAAUACGGAGGUGGCAAGCGUUAUCCGGAUUUACUGGGUGUAAAGGGCGUGUAGGCGGGAAAGUAAGUCAGAUGUGAAAACUAUGGGCUCAACCUGUGGCCUGCAUUUGAAACUGUUUUUCUUGAGUACUGGUGAGGCAGACGGAAUUCCUAGUGUAGCGGUGAAAUGCGUAGAUAUCACGAGGAACACCAGUGGCGAAGGCAGUCUGCUAAACAGCAACUGACACUGAGGCGCGAAAGCGUGGGGAGCAAACAGGAUUAGAUACCCGAGUAGUC
rnacentral:rRNA from 1 species